UCUCUCUCUCUCUCUCUCUCUCUCCGUUUCACCCCAUUAUAGAGAAUCCAGUGAAUCAACCAACAAACAGAUUUGAUUACUUCUUCUUCCUACAAAGAUCUGUGUCUUUUUUUAAAAAUUGUCGAAAGAUAUAAUAUUAUGGCGGAGG